CAAUCCUUACGUGGUGAUUUGGUGACCGGAUUGCAGGCCACGUUUUAAAGAAGCUGCUAAAAGGUCGAAGCCAUGGAUCG
rnacentral:ncRNA from 1 species